CAAGUACUCCCUCCGUUCGGAAUUACUUGUCAUCAAAAUGGAUGUGUCUAUAACUAAAAUACAUCUAGAUACAUCCAUUUCAAUGACAAGUAUUUUUGUACGGAGGGAGUACAAG
rnacentral:pre_miRNA from 1 species